rnacentral:snRNA from 1 species
AUACCUUUCUCGGCCUUUUGGCUAAGAUCAAGUGUAGUAUCUGUUCUUAUCAGUUUAAUAUCUGAUAUGUGAAUCAUUGAUUCACACGAUAUUAACUCAAUUUUUUAAGGGGAGAGUCUGUCAAGGUAGCUUGCUAUCUAGGCUCUCAAGCGUCGCCCAUGCGUUGCACUACUGCACGGGCCUGGCGCACCCCAC